CUCCUGUGUUUACAAAAUAAGAUUCGUCCUUCCAGUUGGAGCUUUCUUUGCUUAUUAGCGAAGAAAAGUAGACUUUGCUCAGCCGUAACUCUCUCCUUUGUUCAUGGCUGAAAAUGGAACGUGGUGGACACAAGUGAGAUAUUUCAAAGAAAAGAAAUAGGAUGGAGACAGUUUAUCUGGAAACAAAGAAGUAAAAAGGAUUGCAGUCUCCUGUGUCCCCUUGUCUCCUGCUGAGAAUUCUUGUCUUCAAAGAGACUUUUAUGACACAAGGCUGAGAACUAAGCACUGACUUGGCUUAUGGCUAUGACCGAGGCUC
rnacentral:lncRNA from 1 species